AUUGAACGCUGGCGGCAGGCCUAACACAUGCAAGUCGAACGGUAACAGAAAGCAGCUUGCUGCUUUGCUGACGAGUGGCGGACGGGUGAGUAAUGUCUGGGAAACUGCCUGAUGGAGGGGGAUAACUACUGGAAACGGUAGCUAAUACCGCAUAACGUCGCAAGACCAAAGAGGGGGACCUUCGGGCCUCUUGCCAUCGGAUGUGCCCAGAUGGGAUUAGCUAGUAGGUGGGGUAACGGCUCACCUAGGCGACGAUCCCUAGCUGGUCUGAGAGGAUGACCAGCCACACUGGAACUGAGACACGGUCCAGACUCCUACGGGAGGCAGCAGUGGGGAAUAUUGCACAAUGGGCGCAAGCCUGAUGCAGCCAUGCCGCGUGUAUGAAGAAGGCCUUCGGGUUGUAAAGUACUUUCAGCGGGGAGGAAGGGAGUAAAGUUAAUACCUUUGCUCAUUGACGUUACCCGCAGAAGAAGCACCGGCUAACUCCGCG
rnacentral:rRNA from 1 species